UCAUGAUUAUAUUGAAAUGAUGGAUGACAGGUUCAAUACGAUUUAACAGCUAAUAUUGCUUAUCAACUUAGCUUUACGUUGUUUGCGUAACGAAAUAGAACUGUUUAAACAAUCAUGGAUGGUCAAUAAAAUUCACUUGAGAUAACAACCUAAAAGCCCGACAACUAGAUAACGUCCAUGAAAUAUAAAGUAACAAGUGGUCUACACAAACAUCAAGCCACUUAGAGGACAUAUAACAUAAAUAACGUUUGUGUUCGCGAUAGUUUAAGCAUAUUUUGCAUCCAAAACGAAUUUUUAGUAUACUUAAAUGCAAUGAAAAUGAAGACAACUAUAGUUAUGAUUGUUGUGUAUGCCGCAUAUUUUGUUCAUGGUGAGGAGGAACAUGAAGGGCUCAUAGAUCCAGGGGAGUUGUAUUUCCGUCAGAAACUGGAAUUUGUGAAUGCCCUGGGAUACGAGUCCUACAGCGUCGUAGAUGUGAGAGAGGAGGAGGAACAAGGUACAUCGGACACAGGUCCCAGAGAUUAUCUGCAUUAGGCAGUUGGAACAAUACAUUGGUGCCGACGUGUAGCGGGACUUUGCCAUAUCAAGUGUCUACAUUUACCGUGCAAUAUUUCUGUGCUGCAGUAUAUACGUUUAAUUCCUUUAUUUAUGUCAAAUUUUAGAAAAAACAAACACAUUUUGCACGCGUUUGUUACAAUCGUUUUUAUUAUAAAAUAAUUUAUGAAGUUUAUAAAUAAAUAUAAAACUAAA